GCCGUCGCCGUCGCCAUUUGAUCCUCCUUCGCGCCCGCCCGUUCAAAAGAGUUUUCCCCAACCAAAAAUCCCCCACCCGCAUCCACCGAACAUGGCGGAGGAGCAGAUGGAGGAGGCGUCCACGGCAGCGGCGGCGGCGACGCCGUUCCAGCUCCAGUUCGACAAGCCCAUCCCGUUCCAGAUAAAAAUGGCAGAAUGGAAUCCAGAGAAGGAUCUGCUUGCUAUGGUUACUGAUGACUCCAAGGUUCUCCUCCAUCGCUUCAAUUGGCAAAGGCUAUGGACAAUCUCUCCAGGGAAGUGCAUCACAUCUAUUUGCUGGAGCCCUGAUGGUAAAAUAAUAGCACUUGGCACAGAAGAUGGUUUGGUGCUUUUGCAUGAUGUUGAGAACGGGAAGAUGCUAAGAACUAUGAAGUCCCACGAUGUUGCCAUUGUAUGUUUGAACUGGGCAGAAGAUGAUCUACUAUCAAGGCCUGACAAGGAUGAGUUUUUACCCUAUGAAGACCGCACCGCACGUUUCUUUCCACCUGCUCCUGUGAUGCCUAGGAUAGGUGGAUUAAGUUCUGGAGAUACUGGUCUUGCGGAUGAAAAUGAAGAAGCUAUUCCACAAUUUUGUAGUGCUUCCUGUCAGCGUUUUAACAUCCUAUGCAGUGGUGGUAAAGAUGGCUGUGUUUGCUUCAGCAUUUUUGGAAUAUUUCCUGUUGGAAAGAUAGUAAGUAAAUGACUGAGACUCAAUGUUGGAAUAUUUUUGUAAUACUCAGUGCUCUCCCUAAUUUGAACUCAAUAAAAAAUAAUUUGUCAUGCAUGCUUUCUCCUGAUUCCAAUGUUUCCUGUUAUUAGUCCCUGAGACCUUUGUACUGUAACAUGAAACAUGAUAUAAACAACAUGGAACAGUUCUUCUGGCAAGCUUUUCUACAAAAUUGCAUUCAUACUGUAGGUGUGCAUUAAUACAGUUGAACAGUUCUAGUGCAUCAUUUUUGCUUACUAUUCUUUCCGUUCAGUCAUGCUGUUCCAUCGGGACAAGACAGUUACAUAAUUUUUUUGCUACGUCCAGUAAGGCGUUAUUGUCAUGCUUUGAAGUUGGCAACUUGGCAUCCAGAAAUAUUUUUUUGUUACGAUGCUCAUUGUAAGCAAAGCAAGCUGAAGUCUUUUAGGCUUGAUUAUUGUUAUCAAUGGCUGACCCAACCAACAAGUGUAUGGUGUCAUCAUGUAUAAUGCUUAAGCAGCUACACUCUUCUGAAAAAAUACUCGUAGUAUUUUUAAAAGUGUCAUCACUAUUCAGUAUUAAGUAUUUAAACUUUGAACUUAUUCACAAAAUGCUGGAAAUACCCCUGAUUGUUGUCUAUGAUGGCAAACUGGACUGGCAUUUUCUUAUCAUCUAUGAUUCAUCUUCUUUUCCAAGUGCGCACAAGCUGGUGGUGUAACAUGAUAGGAGUAGUGACGUUGCUGUGUAAUCUCAAGGGCUGAUUGUAUGGACAUUUCAACCGCUGCUGCCUAAUUCUUUUGUGUUAUUUUUUUUAUGAAUAUUCUUUAUCCUGUUCAAGGUUCUAUGAAUCAGUAGCUUUAUGCCUUUGACAUUUCAGAACAUAAAUAAGAUUCCAAUCAAUGUUGAAUCCUCUGGAAAAAAGAAUUAUCAACUCCAGGAUGCUUCAGUAAGCAAGGUCUCUUUGUCAAGAAACCUCCAGAAAUUGGUUCUUCUGUGCUACGGAAAGUUGAUUGACACUGAAAACCUUUCUCACAACUGUGAAACUGCUGGAUUACAUUGUCUCUACCUAGAUACAUCUAUCUUUUUCAACCGGUAACGACAUAACCGUUUCAUUGAAUUUUACUUGCUUGUUCAGAAACCAUAUAUCAUUGUUGUAUGCUGACUUCUAAACUAAGAUCCACAUUUAGUGCUAGAAUUACCUAUCUUUUGAUGGGCUCAUUCACUCGCUUUACAAACCACAAUUCAGCUCUUUAUAGACAGGUGCAAAUAUUCAUUACUAAAAACAUACCAAAAGUAUUUUGUUAAUAUUUUUUUGUAAAGGAUCUUAACUCUUGUUAUGUGUGUCAACUUCUGCUUAUUAUUGUCAUGUACUAAAAUUUGUAUUUUACCAUAAAUGCUGUAAAGAAAAAAUGAGCUGCAUCAGGUGUCCCAACAAGCAUCGAGUAUUCAAAAUCUGGUUGAAGUUGUCCGCGCUUCCAUAUCUUUGAUAUCCAAACAAUGGUCAAGUGCCAUGAAUUUAUUUCAUGAGAAAUUUAGUGCCUUGCCAAAUCUGAUAGCUGCACAUGGAGCAGAAUCUAGUUCUGAGGAUGAAUUUCUAAGCCUUUUGUUUGGGACACGAACAAGUCCAGCACUUCACCAAUUUUUAGCGAGUUCACUUGGCGAAGCAGGUCUCAAGAGGAUAGCCAAGGCUGUUGACAGUGCUGGAAGAGAAAUUCGUGGCGUUGUCAGUGAGCAUCUUCAGCCUGCUGUCGAGAUUAUUUCAUUCAGACUCGCAGAAUUAAGAGGCCUUGCAAGAUGGCGUUCACGGUUUCAAAUUAUCGGGUUAGAUGAAAAGCUUAUGGAUCGUGUAACUGAGAGUAUAGGGAUGUUAGUUGUUCAAGUUGAGCGCUUUUCAAGGGUUGCAGCUACUGUUCUUUAUCUGUUUCAAAACUUCUUCACCUGGGUUUUAAAGUGUGUUAAGAUAUUACUAAAUGAACCAACUGAUCAAGUUCCAGCAGCAAACAGUGAACUUGUGGUGAUUUUUCUGAAGUUCCUCCUUGAUAAGGAUCCAAUCAAACAGCUACUUGAAGCAGACGAGAGAAUUGAGUGUGAUAUGGAUACUGCAAGACAUGUUGAGCAACUAGUAGUUUUUGGAGGAUUUACGGACACUCAAUUUUUGGAAAGGAGUUUAGUAAAACAAUUCAAUCAAUUGGAAGAUAGCUUGAAGGAGGCUUUCUUGAUGCCGUUUACCACUAUCUCUUCGCAAAUACACUGUCAAGGAUUGCUUCCUCUAUACCCUGUUACAUCAGAUACCUUUUCAUCAACAUGUACACCGACAUCGAUAUCAUUCUAUAAGGUUCAUGUUCUCUUCAGUGAUUUUUGACAAGAUGAAGAUUCGCAACAUGAGGAUUCCUCACAUAACUGGACUGAUUAUGUGUGCUUCAAGAUACCUGAUGGAUCAUUAAAUGAAAGAAAUUGCAUCGGUGUGAUAAAGGACUCUGGUAACUGUUGUACUGCUCUCAGCACGUCGUCACUUUCAGGUUUUCUAUUGCAUAUGCCUGACGAAUACGAGUGUGUUGACCUAUCGCUUUAUAAGGACAACCAAGUAGUUUUACUACUUAGUGAAAGGUCUCAUUCUGAUAGCCCUGGAAGAUCUUGGAUGGUGAUGCUGCAGACACAAAAUGUUUCCUUUAUGCCGCUCUCAGGAACAUUCCCCACAAAUAUUUACGGUCUGCAAAAACUGGUGGCACUGGAUCUUCAAUUGGACACAGAUUAUGGGAAAGUUCGUAGCAUACCUCACACCGUAUCUACUCCACUUGCAGUCAGUGCAUCAAGAGGAGUUGCAUGUGUCUUUUCAUCUCGGAGGCAUGCCUUGGUUUAUAUCCUUGAUGAGGAUGAGGAUGAGGACGAGGAUGGGGAUGAAGUUUCUGAUAUGGAGUGAUUGGUAUCCAAUUCGUGGAAGCUUGAGCUCAGACAUUUCAGUGAAUGUCAUCAUACCGCACUAAGCUGGACUUUCUGUACUGGAGGCAGGAGCUGGGAAUUAGCAUAUAUACGGAAACUAACUUGCCUCUAGUUUUCACGACAAAGCACUAGAGCAGUGCAAGUUCUGGUUCUGAAGCUACAUCAGCGUGGUGGCAGGUUAGGUUAGAAUGUGCUCUGCCACUUUUGGGGCUGAAACUGUCAGCUGUAUGGGUGGGCUCUGCAAGUUGGACUUGAUCGUGGUUAUCUGCAAAGCGAGCUUUGAUGGGAAAUGGUUUCGCAAUAUCUUUAUUUAUAGCCGUUGCCCCAUUUCUGAUCGAAUUGUGUUACAGUUAGUACGUCUUGAAUCUUGAUCGUAGGUGUAACGCUAACGUGCUAAAGAGUUGUCUUGCAAAUCUUGAUGGUUACAAGGGCUGAUAUGUCAAUCGAGGACAUUUUUCGUAGAUUUUUUUUUUGCACCGUUGAGCUGCUUUGAUUUGGAAACAUAUUAAGUGUAAACUUUUUUCUUGGUUCCAGUAGGCUAUUUUACUUGGCAUUUUUAAAUA